rnacentral:rRNA from 1 species
CCUACGGGUGGCUGCAGUGGGGAAUAUUGCACAAUGGGGGAAACCCUGAUGCAGCGACGCCGCGUGAGUGAAGAAGUAUUUCGGUAUGUAAAGCUCUAUCAGCAGGGAAGCUAAUGACGGUACGUGACUAAGAAGCCCCGGCUAACUACGUGCCAGCAGCCGCGGGAAUACGUAGGGGGCAAGCGUUAUCCGGAUGUACUGGGUGUAAAGGGAGCGUAGGUGGCAGGGCAAGUCAGAUGUUAAAACCCGGGGGCCCACCCACGGAGUGCAUUUGAAACUGUCCAGCUGGAGUGCAGGAGAGGUAAGCGGAAUUCCUAGUGUAGCGGUGAAAUGCAUAGAUAUUAGGAGGAACACCAGUGGCGAAGGCAGCUUACUGGACUGUAACUGACACUGAGGCUCGAAAGCGUGGGGAGCAAACAGGAUUAGAUACCCGGGUAGUC